UACGGAGGGUGCAAGCGUUAUCCGGAUUCACUGGGUUUAAAGGGUGCGUAGGUGGGCCCGUAAGUCAGUGGUGAAAUCUCCGAGCUUAACUCGGAAACUGCCAUUGAUACUGUAGGUCUUGAAUUAUCUGGAGGUUAGCGGAAUAUGUCAUGUAGCGGUGAAAUGCUUAGAUAUGACAUAGAACACCGAUUGCGAAGGCAGCUGGCUACAGGUAUAUUGACACUGAGGCACGAAAGCGUGGGGAUCAAACAGG
rnacentral:rRNA from 1 species